UGGCACCCAAGAGGCACAUCUACUUGCAC
rnacentral:piRNA from 1 species